rnacentral:rRNA from 1 species
CGGAGGGUGCAAGCGUUAUCCGGAUUCACUGGGUUUAAAGGGUGUGUAGGCGGGCAGUUAAGUCAGUGGUGAAAUCUCCAGGCUCAACCUGGAAACUGCCAUUGAUACUAUCUGUCUUGAAUUCUGUUGAGGUGGGCGGAAUACAUCAUGUAGCGGUGAAAUGCUCAGAUAUGAUGUAGAACACCGAUUGCGAAGGCAGCUCACUAAGCAGCGAUUGACGCUGAGGCACGAAAGCGUGGGGAUCAAACAGGAUUAGAUACCCUGGUAGUCCACGCCCUAAACGAUGAUUACUCGACAUACGCGAUACACAGUGUGUGUCUGAGCGAAAGCAUUAAGUAAUCCACCUGGGAAGUACGACCGCAAGGUUG